UGGGGAAUAUUGGACAAUGGGCGAAAGCCUGAUCAACCAAUGCCGCGUGUGUGAAGAAGGUCUUCGGAUUGUAAAGCACUUUAAGUUGGGAGGAAGGGCAGUAAGUUAAUACCUUGCUGUUUUGACGUUACCAACAGAAUAAGCACCGGCUAACUUCGUGCCAGCAGCCGCGGUAAUACGAAGGGUGCAAGCGUUAAUCGGAAUUACUGGGCGUAAAGCGCGCGUAGGUGGUUCAGCAAGUUGGAUGUUAAAUCCCCGGGCUCAACCUGGGAACUGCAUCCAAAACUACUGAGCUAGAGUACGGUAGAGGGUGGUGGAAUUUCCUGUGGAGCGGUGAAAUGCGUAGAUAUAGGAAGGAACACCAGUGGCGAAGGCGACCACCUGGACUGAUACUGACACUGAGGUGCGAAAGCGUGGGGAGCAAACA
rnacentral:rRNA from 1 species